AGGUGUUGAUUAAAUGAAAUCUAAUCAACAUUAUUAAUUAUUAUUAAUUCACUCAAAAUCUGUAUGUUUUUCUGUUAGUAAUUAAUAUGUAUAUCUGUUUAUGAGAAAAGAAGGGGAGAAAGUUUCAUUUCUUGAUGAGUUCCGUGUGCGUCGCCGCUGUAACGUUAUUGGCGCGUUGCGCGCUCUUGCUUCAGUCCACGGGAGGUCUGAGCAGAGCGAGCAGGAGCAGGCAAGAUUGCACAACGGAUAAUUAACUGCAUGUUUUCUACUUAUGCAGCGUAAAAUACAACUGAACCAGUAGAUUGACUCCGGUGUUUAUU